GGUGGUGUGGUGUAAUGGUAGCACGUGACGUUGUGGUUCAUCCUCUAUAGGAUAUCUCACGAAAUGAUCCGUUUCAAUCUGGGUUCGAUUCCCAGCACCGCCA
rnacentral:tRNA from 1 species